UGAAGUGAAACCCCACUGUUUUCUUGCAGUGCAAAGAGAUGCUGGGUCACUUCAGAGCUGCAGCUGAGUUUGGAUACAUAAUUUUGUGAGAAACCAUUUUCAGUUGCUUUCAACUUGUUUUGGAUUCAACUCAUGAUCUUAAUGAUGAAGGACGCCACAACCUAUUAGCAGUCAUCUGAGCCAUCCAGAUCUCUCAAGAGCCUGUUUCAGUAAGUUGGUUAUGGAGAGCUCCUCCACAGAAGAUGGAAGGUCCAAAUUGAUAGAUACUGUCAAAAGGACCUUCAGAGGAUACAAAGGUUCUCCAGUCCUCGAAGAGGUUACUUCAAAAGGCUGCAGCAAGCACGUCAUUUUCCUAUCACUGUCCAACAUGUAAGGGAGACAAAGUUGAAUAAUCACGGAGAAAUCAAUUGAUGAAGAACGGGACUUGACUCCAUGCCAUGAGUUUCAUUAUUUUUGUAUAUGAACUUAGAUACUACUGGAUCUGAGACUGCAAGCUGUUACAUGCUCUUACUACAACAGCCUGAUUAACUUUUAAUGGGAAAAAAAUUUUGUUCCACUUUCAAAUACAGUAAUCUGGUAAAGGGUUAGCCAUCAAAGACCCAGUUAAAGGGCAGGAGCACAGCAAGAGACCUGUAAAGCUCGGCUACAAGGGUGUAGCUCAAGAAAAAUAAGCAAUUAGAGUUGGCAGGAAGGGGAUGUCAGAUGUGCAACUGUCUCUUGCAUGAAUUGUCUCCCAGAAAGCUGAAGGACAGCACAAAAUUAUCUUUCCUUAGAGACUCAUCCAUAAGUGGUGUUAAUGACUGUCAGUUACAUUCAAUUUGAUAGUUAUCAUCUGAAAUGAUUGAUUGUAGCUGUGCUGCACAUGGAUAUGGUUAGCAAAAUCUCCCCAUGCUUUCGUUAUCCUAGAAGAUAUCACUAGGCUUAUAGUUUGACAGUUAGCACUCAGAUGGUGCUCUACACCUCUCUGGUAAGUAUCAUGCUGUUUUUCUGUUUACAGACAUAAUGGUAACAUUGGACUGUGUUCUGAAGGAAAAAUAAUUUUUAAAUCUACAGUAGAUUUUUUUUUUUGCUGCCUCUGGUGCAUGUGAUAAUUUGCUUGAAGCGUUUUGGGAAAAAAACUGCUUGAGAAAAGCCAAAAUGGCCAGCAUACAAAAAUUCUGUGGUUCUGGAAACCAGUUUAAUAACUCCCAGAAGGUGGCUUUGUUCACCAGCUGAGCUCCAAAUAUGAUGCCUUUUGAAGUGUAGACAACUGACUACUGGCAUCCUCUAACCUUUGAAGAGAUCUGUUUUCACAAAAUCUUCUAACAUGGGAGAACCUGUGCCUGUAAGUGAAGAAAGUAAUGGAGCAGCUGUUGAGGUUCUUGAACACAGGUAUCCAUCUUUGUAAAAUCUCAAUUUCUCCCAUGUUCAGACAGAGAUGAAUGUAGAGAUUGUGGUUUGGCCUAUCGCAUAGCAGGUGGCUUGAGGCAGAAAUCUUGGGUGCAGGUACGUUUCCAUAUCCAAGCUUCCUUGAAGCUUCAGGGCUGGGAUUGGGACUCAUUAUCGUAAUGCAUUAAAUUAAUGUUAUAGAUGAAAUUCCAAUUCAAUCUUCUUCGUAAGAGAACUUUUGACAUGAUAUAUUAACCAUCAGAUUAGAAGAAGACUGACUGAUUGCCAUUUAAUGCAAUUGAAUGCCAGGAUUUUUCAUGUGAUGAAGCUGGCUGGGUGGGGAAUAUAAAUCUGCUGGUACCAGUACCCUUAUAAACUUUAAAUGGGAGGAAGAUUAAAAUUCCAUGGAUGGGAUAUUUAUUUGCAGCCAUUAUUCACAGAGUGAUGUAUCACAGAGUCAUGAAAAUGCAAGUGCCCAUCUUUUCUUUCAUAUGAAGCCUUUGAAAAAAGGAUUAAUGUAGUUCUAAUCAUAGUUUGGAUGGUACUGCAUGCUCUUACUUUUUAAUAUGUCUGCACAUGUACUCUAAAUUUACCUGGAAGUCAUCCCACAGAUGUGUAGUAGUUUCCAAUUAUUGUAAGGGCAUAAAGAACAAGACAGAAAUGAAGUCCUCUGGGUCGUUAAGUCUAAAUCCUUGCUAUUGCAGGGAAGUUUAGCCCAUUUCCUUUCUGGUCUCCUCCCAUUUCAGGAUUUUAAAAAUCUUACAUGCAGCAGAGCCACUACAAUAGUUCCAUGAUUACAUUCUUUGCUUCUUUUCUUUGCUUGGAUAAUAAAACAUUCCUUCCAACAUUGAGCAGACUUUAAAAAGUUUGAAAUUACAACUUAAUAAUUUUUUUAGCUGAGAAAACAUUUGUUUCAGAGAGGAGAGAAAGUUUCUGAGUGUGUUUAGUUGUCUUUGACUCCUGAUUUUAUUACUAGAUAUUUUAUUCUGCUCUUUCUUUCUGACCCCUAAUAGCUGCACCUCUGUUAGGAUGGACUCAGGAGUGUCAGCAGGUUUGGUACCUUGCUAGUUGGGCAGCUAUCUAAAUCUUGUAUGCUGCAGGGCAUCUAGGAGGCUCAGACAAAGAGUUUGGACUGCUUUCCAAAUGAUGUAAUCCAAAAGAGACUACAGCUCAACAGGAACACUUGUGACCUGAAUGAUCUUCUGUGUCAUCUGCAGACUUUUUGGAGUAUGGCAGCAGGAAUUCAAAAUCCAGUGAUGCAGGUUAACAACAUGAAAGGAUGUGCUUUUUGUCUGGGUCUGAUGCUUUCCAAGCUGAGUGAUGUUGGGAUUUUACCGAUGUGACCAGCUGAGCUAUUAGAUCAGUUCAGAUCUGCUCUGAGUUAUUAGAUGCAACAGAAAAAAAAAUAAAUCUGCAGUUGAUUUUCUCCAAAUCUAAUUGGGAAUAAAGCCAGAUUCUCUGACAAGUUCCACGGGGAUAUGUCUAGUACUGUUGAAUCAAGUUUAUUCUGGCUUUAUGUUGGAGCAUGGAGGACGAUGAUGAAUCUCACUGAACUCUUAUUACUUAGUUACCAUUUUGACAAUUGUGCUCUGAGCUACGAAGCCAUCAGGUUUGUCAUACUGUGCAAUCCCUCUCCAUCCUCAAGAAACAUCUUGGCUUCUGAGGGCGUUCUUUAGACAGCAGACUCUGGAUUGAUAUCAGCCUAGAAGAUGUGCCCAAAAGAGGAUGAAGGGAAUGAAGACGUGCUCAGUUUGCCUUUGAAGAUAGGAAUGUUGUAGUCUAUGCUGUGUGUUAUCACAAAGGUAAUGUGAUUACUCCACAGGACUAUGAGUGCCAAGCACGGCGCUCUAUGAGCUGCUGUGGGGAAUGUUAACUCCAUCCCAGGCACAUCCAGUACAGAGGUAUCCACUGGCUUCUCACCCAAAUGAUAUUUUCAGUGCUUAAUGAUGGUAUUAUACCUAAGGCUCAAUUUAAAAACAAAGCAAACAAACAAAAAAAAAGCCAGUAUUCUUUGUGCUCUUUGUCUCAUGGACUAGGUCAGGGAAUGUAGGCGUGUUCCUCUCUUCCUGAUAGAAUUUCUACAUAGAUCAGACAGCUAGCACGCAGACUGAAGAAACAGUAGCUAAUGCACAAAAAAACGUUAUGAGAAAGCCAAGGUAGUGAGGCAGCUUGCAACAACAAAGGACUGAGUGACCUGAGGGCUUGAGGCAGAAGCAAACCCAUCUAACCUCUGGGUACUAGAAAUAACGGUGAGUACUUGCAGAAAGAAUCUUGUCCUAGUUACUCAGCUGGCUAUAGUAAAGAUCUAAUUUCUAACUUUUUAUAGUGUGUUGCUAGAGCUCAUGGGCCAAGUUCUCUGCCUGUGUUGGUUUACCUUAUUUUUAUUCUUUUUUUUUUUUUUUCCCCACAUCAGUUCUGCUGUUUCAUAUAAGAUCUCUCUGCAAUUAUAGCUUUUGCAAUCUUCUCCUUUUUUUUUUUUUUUCUCCAUCUCACUCAUCUACACUUUUAGUACCUUCAGUGACUUCAGAUCUUCCAUUCUUCAUGGCCAAGAAUAACUUCUCACCUCUGUGGAUUUGAUGUUCUUGGUCCUUUUGCUGGCCACUGCCGUGACACAGGGCUUGGAACUAGGUGAUCUUUAGGCUCUCUUGCAACCCACACCGUUUUGUGGCCUUGGCUCUCCUUUGUAUCUGACGUUGGCUGUGUUACAAGACCUAGUUUCAUAGUCUUGAGAACGAUAACAAAGAUUGUACCUUGUCCUUUGACAGUGGAGAUAGAUAAUGGGCACUUCACUGCAAUUCUUACAAUGUAAAAACAGCUGAUCCAACUGUUCCCAUAAAAGUCCAAUUGGUUGCAGUAGGCAUUAUGUUCAUUCUGACAAUGAUAAAAUGAUUGCUUUAGUAUCUGGCUGUGUAACCCAUUUACAGCUUGUGCACCGGUAUUAUAAGAGUGUUUCAAUUGUGAAAAUCAUUGAGAUGUAAAUGUCAUGAUUAUAAUUUAUCUUCAUUAAAAAUUCAAUUGGAAGAAGGAAAAUUAAUACAUGUGCUGUAUAGUGUACCAGAUACUAAAAAGUAAUAUGUUAUACUGAAAAUAGGGACUUAGGAAUGAAACUACAUCAGAAAAUAACUCAGAAGCACAUUCUAGUGAUGUGACAGGUGGUUAUCUCAAGGGCAUUGCCAGAAAUAUUUUACUGGCUCUCAGUUCUUGUCUGGAGUGGUGUAAUAUUUCAUCUUUCUCUAAUAGCAAUCUUAACACCUCUCCCCCCUCCCUACGCUGCCAACGCAGACAAGCAGCCAAACAGACGGGGCUGUCGUCUUGUGUUUUAAUGCUUGAAAAUGAUUGUAUCACCUGAAACCACCAUCAGCUUGGAGCACAAAAG